rnacentral:lncRNA from 12 species
UUAAGUGUGGUACAGAGACCGUGUCAAUGAGUCUUGUGAAAACUGCUCCCUUGUUCUUCUACAGAAGCAGCAGAUUUCCCAGAAAGAUUGCCCACGCCUGGCAGUCCCAUUUCUUUUCACUGACUGGGAAACCCACAGACAGAGAAGGUCACAGCAAAUGUGAGAGGAGUCUCUUGAAGUCUAUUGUUCCAAAUACUCCAAUUCUGCUUGUCAAGGAUGCCUGGAGAGGGGCACUGAAGAGAAUAGCAAUGAAUAGGACAACCCUAGAGAAGAGAGAACAGCUUCCUUGCUAAAAUCAACAUCAUCCUAAUUUUCAUAGAACUACCACACACUGUGGUGGGCGGGGGAGGCUUUUAAUCUACACAAGAAUGAGUCCAGAGGAAUUAAGUGAUGUCAAUUCUUUGAGAGAACAGGUAAUGGUUAUUUUUCUCCUUUGAUGUCAGCUUUCUGGGGCAGUGUGUGUUUGGGUGAUGGGGGGAUCCACAGUGUUGUUUGCUCAGACUUUACAGGGCAGUUGAGCUGGAGUCAUAUGACUGCUAUGUCAUUGAGGUCAGUUGGGGCUAUUCUUGUUUCUACAUACAUAACCACGCAUCAGAGGUCCCUGGGUUGCUUAAACUGAUUAACUCCACCAAGAUCCUGAAUGCUCAGUGUGGUGACAGCCCACUAAUUGUCCAGCUCUGUUUCUCCAUGGCCAAAGAGCUGUUUGAAACACUUGUGCGCCUUCAUCAGCAUUCCAAAACCCUGCAAAGCUCGAAGUUUGUUUUUCAACAAUUCACAUGGGCUUAGUAAGAGCAGUCUGCAUAGCUGUCCUUUUCUGAAAUCUAGAAAUAUUUUUUUCCCAAAUGUUCUCAAUUAAUUUUGUAGUCUAGACUGUGAAAUCUCAGUACUCUCCAAUCUGCUUCAUCUCUUUUCAAGACGCUUAGGGGCAUUCGCAGGAAACUUGUCAUUGGUUGAUUAGAUUUGUGAUAAGGUAAAAAGUUCCCUCAAUUAACUUUACUCUCUGUUUCUUACUUUCUAGGUACUCCCCAUCCCUGAGCAUGUCUUCCCUGUUUAUCUCCUUGUUCUUUCCUAUCGACUGUCUCCACACUCUUUCCUAAUUGUGGUCACUGACUUCUUAUUCUCUGCAUUCUGAAAUAGUAAAUUAUCUGUAAGUUCUGAAAUUCUGUAGCAAUGUCAGAUAUCAGUAUAAUAACUAUAACUCAUCCCUUUUUGUGGGUAUGGUUUUGUGAGUGGGUAUGUGUGUGCAGUUUAGGUGUACCUGAGACAGAAGCCCAGCUGUCAUGAACGAUCCUCAUCCUGAACUGAAGUCUCCCUUACCCCUUCUGACUCGAGAGGGCCUGAACCUACACACAGAGGCAAGACCCAGAUCCAUCUCACUGAUUACAGGUUUUAGAUGUGAGAGUUUUUGAAGAUACAUAGCAGUAGAGGGCCUGUCCUUAUUAAGCUAAAACGCACAAAAAAUUUGUUUGCGCUCUCCCAUCUUGCCUAUUCCCUGACAUUUAUUUUUUUCUACCCAGGUACCCUGCUGCUCUGUGCUGUUCUCCAGCUUGUACAAGUCUUUCCUCUUCAUCAAUGCCCUCAGCACCACACUAAGCAAUGAUUGGCACUUUCAAAAUGACCCUUCUUCCAAAAUCAAACUCCCACACAUUUAGGCUACAGAAGAAAAAUGUCCCAGUCAUCUGGUCCACAUGGGAGUGUGAAAAAAUAAUAACAUCUACUUAGGCAAUUGUAUGUUUACGAAUUUGGUAAUUGUUGCAAAUGGAUGAUGGUUUCAAAAGGCCUCUAGAAAAAAUAUUGGAAAAGAAUACUUUCUAGAGAUCCCAGGCUACCUCUCCUGACUCCCUGAGGCAUUCUCUAACAUAAAAAUUGCAGAACAGUGAAAUGAGGUGGUGAGUACUCUUUAAAAAUCAGAUGGAGUAUUGGUCAAAUGCUGCAGUGGCAAGAGGUGAUGCAUGGCAGCUGUCAGAGCUGCUUUGAGAUACCCAUUAAAGCUUGGCAUCGAUUACUUUCAAUAUUGAUCGGACUAUUUCUACCAGGACUAUUAACUCACAGAAAACAUUAAUCUAGGGACAAUCAACUUUUUUUGAAGUUGCUUUAUUUUUUUUUCUAGAAAUAAAUCUAAAUUGCCCUGUAUUUGAAUUUAAGAA